UACGUAGGGUGCGAGCGUUAAUCGGAAUUACUGGGCGUAAAGUGUGCGCAGGCGGCAGAGCAAGUCGAGUGUGAAAGCCCCGGGCUUAACUUGGGAAUUGCGCUCGAAACUACUUUGCUGGAGUGUGGCAGAGGAAGGUGGAAUUCCAGGUGUAGCGGUGAAAUGCGUAGAUAUCUGGAGGAACACCGGUGGCGAAGGCGCCCACCUGGCCUGCUACUGACGCUGAAGCUCGAAAGCUAGGGGAGCAAACGGG
rnacentral:rRNA from 1 species